CCUACGGGAGGCAGCAGUGAGGAAUAUUGGUCAAUGGCCGCAGGGCUGAACCAGCCAAGUCGCGUGAGGGAUGACGGUCCUAUGGAUUGUAAACCUCUUUUGUCAGGGAGCAAAGGGCGCCACGUGUGGCGCUUUGCGAGUACCUGAAGAAAAAGCAUCGGCUAACUCCGUGCCAGCAGCCGCGGUAAUACGGAGGAUGCGAGCGUUAUCCGGAUUUAUUGGGUUUAAAGGGUGCGCAGGCGGAAUGGCAAGUCAGCGGUAAAAUUUCGGGGCUCAACCCCGUCGUGCCGUUGAAACUGGCGUUCUUGAGUGAGCGAGAAGUAUGCGGAAUGCGUGGUGUAGAGGUGAAAUGCAUAGAUAUCACGCAGAACUCCGAUUGCGAAGGCAGCAUACCGGCGCUCAACUGACGCUCAUGCACGAAAGCGUGGGUAUCGAACAGGAUUAGAUACCCGAGUAGUC
rnacentral:rRNA from 1 species